CAAACACAAUAAUUAAUCAUUGAUAUUUGGAACCUAAUUUAUGUCGUUGUACUAAUGAUCACAUAUAAAUAGAGUUUAACAAUUUAUAACAUUUUUGAGAAAUUAUUGAACUAGUCGUGUAUAAGAAGAACUAGUAAAGUUACCUCGGAUGGUGUAUCUCCUUUCCCCCCAUGGUUACAUGUUUUUGCUUCCCCGUCUUUCUCGUACUCAACCUCUAAAUAAGUGAUACGAGAAUUAUCUUGAUCAAUACGCAGCGUUUUAAUGCCAUCGUAAGAACCAUCAUCCCAAACACGCCCGUCUGUACCACCUUGGGCAUCAAGCUUGUAAAGAGGGAACGGCGUGGUAUCCAAUACAAAGUAAACUCCAAGAGCGUCGACAGCAUCACCUGCCCGUCCAUGAAACCCUACGAUCUUCUUUCCCUCAUCCUCAAAAACAAACUUUGUACCGGUCGUAAUUCCAAGUAAGUUUGGACCAAACAAUGGAGACUUUCUACCCUUUGAGGUCUUGAAGACGAGGGACGUAAUCACCUCUGUGGCAAUGAGAGCCACUUGGUGGUAACUUCCCUCCACUGCUAUGAUGUGUUCGUCCGGGUAUUGAAUUACAAACUGUAUGUAAUAGUAACAUAUAUUCAAUAAAAUUUAUAGUAUUUAAUAUUGAUAGGUUUAGGAUAAUUCUCAAGAUUUCCUAGUCCUAAUAUACAGUAUCUGAGUUUUGGUUUUAUAACGUUGUCUUAGUGUUUGUGUCUUAUUCAUUUACACAAGUAGUGUAAUACAAAAAAAUUAGAGAGUCACUAAAGGGUAUCCGCCUCAGAAAUACUUGCUUCUUCUUGUUUAUGUCUUAAAGGAUUUAUCCAACGUUAAUCCGAAUUCACAAGAGUAAUUUACUAGUAUCGCAAAAAAUUAAGGGUGAGAAUAAAUGCAAUGAGAACCUCUUUAGGGUGCUGAUUUGUUGUCCCAUAUUCAGUUGUUACUACUUCGCCGUCUUCCUGCACGUACUCAAACUUGAUGUAAGUGAUACGGUUGAGAUCUUGCCCUACAUACACUUUUCUUACACCCUCAUAUACAUCGUCGUCCCAUUCUUGUCCUCCCUCACCACCGCAGAGUGCCAACUUCCGGUACAUCUUCGCCAUUUCGAAUCUAAAAAAUAUUGUAAAAUGCAAAAAUUACUUCUUAUAUAGAUAAUCCAAAAACGAAAGUAUAUAUGUACAGCUUUAUAUAUAGUUUUUAAAGCUGGUUUGUGGUUAGUAAUACAUAAAUACCAUGAUAACACUGUAUAGCCUAUUCAAAUACAUAGCAAAAACACCAAAAUGAUCCAAGAAACACAAAUAGAACAAUCAACUGAUCAUGGGUAAAUAUUUACUGUUUGAUGUUGAUAGCUCUAUUAUUGGUGAUGUGGUGUAAUAUAAAUCAAUCAAUUAGGUUUAAAAGUGUUUGUUAAAUCUAAUAUAUUCAAGAAUACAUAUCUACAUAUAAAGAGCUACUUCUUGUUUUAAAAACAUUUUGUGAAGCAACAUACAUAGUAGUGGAAACUAGGAGUUACUUUAAAAAAAAAAAAAAAAAAAAAAAUUGAAGGGAGAGAGAUAACCAGUUAAUUAUUGAGCUCUGAAUGAUGGAAGGAGAUGAAGCUUAUGGGUAUUGAAUUGUGUGUAUUUAUUGACAAUCUUUGGCAUACAAGGUCUUCUUGAUUGUCUUUAAUUAAUCAUUUUAAUAAUCAACUCGUGUGACACGAGAGACUCCCUCACAAAUGCAACAAAUAAUUAGAGUCCAUUACGAGUGCAAUAUAUAAUAAUAGCAUACAACUUUCUAGAUGCAGAGAUAUUUUAAAGUACGACAGAUGAACAAAACAAUUCAUCAAAACAGCAUAAACCAAAUUCAAUAUAUUGUUAACUAAAACAAAUUUGAUGAUGUUAAUGUUGCGAUUCCCACCAAAAUCUCCUAUUUAGUAUUAAGAAUCUUUUUGACUGCACAUUUUGAAAACAGAUUUAGAAUUAUUAUCUUCAAACUAAAACGGUGUAUAAGCUUUAUUUCCUAAGUUACUGUCAGAAAUAUCAUUCAUUAAAGUUUCAAAUGAAUUUAACAGUUAUUUAAAUUUUGUAUAAACUGUGUUCAUGCAAAAGUUUGGCUUAUCAUCAUCAUAUAUUCAUGUCCUUGCUUUUUGGAGUCGUUGAGGAUCGACGGUUGGAUACCAUGGAGACGAUGGUCAAGUUAUUUUGGGACGCUGAUGUUAUGUCAUGAUGACUCUUUCACAUUAUCAUGUUGUGUUUUAUGAUUAUCAGUAUCUAAGGCUCAAAACUAGAAUAAGCUCGAAAAGAACAUAAAAGAGUCAAAACAACCACAAUGAUCCCAAUAAUAACAUACAACUUGUCAAAUGCAGAUACACUUAAUUUAUCAAAACAAAUCAUUCAGAAUAGUGAAAGUGGUGAUUUCUGUUCUUCUUCUCCUUCUUCUCCUUCUUCUCUUUCUGCACCUUGGCUUUCUUCUUAUCCUCCUUAUCCUUCUUCUUAUCCUCCUUGUCCUUUUUCUUCUCCUCCUUCUCCAUGUCCUUCCUUUCCUUCUCCUCCUCCUCCUUUUUCUUCGCCUCAUUCUCCUUCUUCCUCUGUAGCUUCAUCCAGACUGCAGAACUCGAUGAUGAAGAUGAACGUGAACCUGAAGCAGCCAACAAGACGAAGAAUAAGAAUGAUACAAUAUUGCUCAAAGCCUCAAAUCAAGAGUAAGGAGAUGAGAUGUAUAUACAAUGGAGAAGGAAGAGAACGUUAACCUUUUUCUUUAUUUUUUUUGUAGAUGGAGUUGAAAUGGAUCCCAGCUAGAUAGCUCAUAUGAAUGACUUUGUCCGGUUCCUUUUGAGACUUGGGCAAAAACUCCAUAAAUGGAAUAAGUUUGAUUGAUGUAAUGAGUAUUAUUUUUACUUGAUACACAUCAGCAGCCACUCUCAAAGUCACUUCAUCGCCCCAUUGGGAAUUAGUGGACAAUGACAUGUUCUUUAUGGGAGAAGUCCAUAUGAUCAACAAACCCUUUGUAAAUCUUCGGAUGAGUUUUAAGCUGAGAGUCAUCAAUCAAUCAAUCAUCAUAUGACAUUAAUACACGUAUGAAAAAAACAAUCAAAAGUUUGAAGAUUGAUAUUACCUGUUUUACGAUUUCUUGUCUAACAAGUUCAUGACAAUCCGAAUUUUGAUAAAGUUGAUCCGCCAAAGCACGGAACUGAAAUAGAAUUAUUGACAAAAACAUGAAAAAGGGUUAUUCAUAAUACGAUCAAAAAUAUAUAUCAAGUUGAUUGUUUGAUAUAGAAACAUUAAUUACCUGGCAAUUUCCAUCACUUUUCAUCAUGAUUUCGGUGUAAUUUUCCCAUUCCAAUCUGAAAAUCCAGGAAGAAUAAGAAAUAACAUAUAUAGUCAGAGAUUAUCAGGCAAAAAAAUAAUUGGAACAAAGUUUACAAGAAGAAUCGAUCAAUACCUAUACUCAAGUAUUUCGCGAUCACUAAGACCGUCCAAACACAACGACUUGGUCUGAGUAUUAGACAUCUUUUAGAGUUGAGAUUGAUCGAUGGUUAUUGAUUCAGAACAGAGUCUCGAUCUCCUCUCUUAGAAAAGAUUAGGGCUGCUAGGUUUAACGUUUCUCAAAAAAAAAAAUCUUUCUCCAACAGUUAAUUGUGAAUUAUGAUGAUCCUAUCCUUUAAUAUACUAAAAGAACGAAAAAGAAAAAGCAAAAAAUUCCAUAAUUAAAAAAAUAAACGAAAUUUACAAUUAUCUUAAGGAAAAAUAAAUAGUUCAUUUCUUUAUGUUUAUACCGAUGGUAUUGUUUUAUUUGCGUAUGAUUUCAUUUUCACUUGUAUAUGUGCCACGUAGGCCUGGGCACGAAUCGAAUAUCCGGAAAAUUGGGGAUAUUUGUUAUUCGAUUCGUUUUAAUCGAAUACUUAAUUUUAUUAUUUGCUUUGAUCCGAAAAUUUUCGAAUAAAUGAGUACGAUAAAAAAUGACAUCAAGUAUUUGAUAUAUUGAGUAAAAGGAAUUAGAAAUAUUAAUUAGAUGGCAAUUUCCAUCACUUUUCAUCUUGAUUUCGGUGAAAUUGUGCAACUCCAAUCUGAAAAUCCGGAGAAAAAAAACAUAUUUAGUCAUGAUUAGAUUCAUAUGUAGGAAAAAUAUAUAUUUAUUUUCUUAAAUAUAUAGGACGACUCAUUUUCGAUUACUUUUAAUAUUAUUUUUUGUUAAGAUUACUUUUAGUCAUUUGGGCAACAUAUGCAUAAUCAAAUCUUGUAAGACCACUUUAGAGAUCUGGGCUUUGAGGAAGACAACAAUGAGAAAGCUUCUUUUUCUAAUGUCUAUGUCUUUGAAAUGUUACAAGGAGCAAUUAAAAUAGUGGGUAAAAAGUUUCAUUACAUCAGUGGGGCUGUGUGUUCAAUGUUAGCUACUCUGACACGGCUCAUGGUAGAUUUAUUGAAUAGUUGAAGAGAGCACACCAAUUCUUAUUGGACAUAUUUGACAGAAACAGUAAGUUACAAACACAUCAAAAGUAGUAGAGUAAACACACCAAUCCUUAUUGAAUGUUUUCAUUUAGUCGACAUGGCACUGGCUGGUUUUACUUAUAUAAUAAAAGGUUUUUCACUUGGUGUUGGUAAUGGGCACGACAGUGACUCCGAUGCUGUGAACAACAUCACUAGCUUGUCCGUGGAAUCCGACGAUCUUGUGGCCUUUCUCUCCAAGCGAGAACUUCUCACCCGAAUCCAUUCCGAAUGGAGUUGACUCCCUUUUGUUCGUCUUAAACUGAAGACAGAUAAUCAUUGGUGUCUCGACUCCGAAAAUCUUAUCGUAAUAGCCAUCUAUGGCCGUGAGAUAUUCACCAUCUUCAAGCACAAACUGCAAAGACUCAAAAGUAACAAGGAUAAGUGUAUAAUUUAAAAUAAAAUUAGCUGAAAAAAGAAAAAACAUAACUCUUGUUUAUGGAACUGACCUCUUCAGUUCCGAGUAAUGUCAUCUUCCCAUGGUCAUCUCCAGAUACAAGAUCUUUUCCUUUAUUGUAUUCAAACUUGACAAAGGCUACACCAUCGUUACCUUGUCCUACAAGUAUCUUCCUUACACCAUCGUAGACACCAUCAUCCCAUGCAACUCCUCCGCUGCCGCCUAUUGCUGGUAGUUUCUUGGCUGGAAUUAUAGGAGUCGGAGUAGGAAUAGGUGCAAAAUAUGCUCCAAGGGCAUCAAUAGCUGAACCUUCCUUUCCAUGGAACCCGACAAGCCUACGACCCUUUUGCUCUAGCUUAAACUUCUUACCUCCCUUAUACCCAGAGAAUGACGUUCUCCCCUUCGAUGUUUCAAAUGUAAGCGAUGUAAUGACGACAUUGCGGAAAAUGUCCGGUUUAUCAUAGGUUGCUUCCACCGAUUUGAUGUAUUCAUCCGGGUUAAGCUCAAACUGCAACAAAAUCAAAAUUUAAGAAUACUUCUGUCGCAAGAUAUCAAAAGUUAUAUUUAAGACCUAAAUUUUGGUUGUUCUACUAUAUCUCACAGUUUCUAGAAAUUUACCUUCAGUGAUCUUUCUUGUUUCACCCCAUGGCGACAUGUCUCUAACUUACCGCCUUUCUCGUACUCGAACUCUAAAUAAGUAAUACGAGAAUUAUCUUGACCAAUACGCAGCGAUUUAACGCCGUCGUAAGAACCAUCAUCCCAAACACGCCCGUCUGUACCACCUUGGGCAUCCAGCUUGUAAACAGGCGGAGACGUUGUUAGAGAGCCAUGUACAAAGUAAACUCCAAGCGCGUCGAGAGCAUUACCCGACCGUCCAUGAAACCCUACGAUCUUCUUUCCUCCAUCCUCAAUAACGAACUUUGUACCGGUCGUAAUUCCAAGCAAGUUUGGACCAAACAGUGGUGACUUUCUACCCUUUGAGGUCUUGAAGACGAGG
rnacentral:lncRNA from 1 species